CUUGAAUAAUAUGGAAGUAACUAGAAUAUGUAGUGUAGCGGUGAAAUGCUUAGAUAUUACAUGGAAUACCAAUUGCGAAGGCAGGUUACUACGUAUUUAUUGACGCUGAUGAACGAAAGCGUGGGGAGCGAACAGGAUUAGAUACCCUGGUAGUCCACGCCGUAAACGAUGGAUACUAGCUGUUCGGUUUUCGGACUGAGUGGCUAAGCGAAAGUGAUAAGUAUCCCACCUGGGGAGUACGUUCGCAAGAAUGAAACUCA
rnacentral:rRNA from 1 species